rnacentral:rRNA from 1 species
GAUGAACGCUAGCGGCAGGCCUAAUACAUGCAAGUCAAGGGGCCAGUAAUGGCACCGGCGGACGGGUGCGUAAUGCAUGGGGAGCUGCCCAAUCGAGGGGGAUACCAGCUGGAAACGGCUGCUAAUACCGCAUACGCCCUGAGGGGGAAAGGUGGGGACCUUUGGGCCUACCGCGAUUGGAUGCACCCAUGUGGGAUUAGCUAGUUGGUGAGGUAACGGCUCACCAAGGCGACGAUCUCUAGCUGGUCUGAGAGGAUGACCAGCCACACUGGAACUGAGACACGGUCCAGACUCCUACGGGAGGCAGCAGUGGGGAAUAUUGCACAAUGGGGGAAACCCUGAUGCAGCCAUGCCGCGUGUGUGAAGAAGGCCUUC